CAGUAGCCGCGGGAAUACAGAGGAUGCAAGCGUUAUCCGGAAUGAUUGGGCAUAAAGUGUCUGUAGGUGGCUUUUCAAGUCCGCCGUCAAAUCCCAGGGCUCAACCUUGGACAGGCGGUGGAAACUACCAAGCUGGAGGACGGUAGGGGCAGAGGGAAUUUCCGGUGGAGCGAUGAAAUGCGUUGAGAUCGGAAAGAACACCAACGGCGAAAGCACUCUGCUGGGCCGACACUGACACUGAGAGACGAAAGCUAGGGGAGCAAAUGGGAUUAGAUACCCGUGUAGUCCCUGUCUCUUAUAC
rnacentral:rRNA from 1 species